AAAGAAAGCUGGAGGCAUGCCUAACACAUGCAAGUCGAACGAGACCUUCGGGUCUAGUGGCGCACGGGUGCGUAACGCGUGGGAACCUGCCCUUAGGUUCGGAAUAACUCCCCGAAAGGGGUGCUAAUACCGGAUAAUGUCUUCGGACCAAAGAUUUAUCGCCUUUGGAUGGGCCCGCGUUGGAUUAGCUAGUUGGUAGGGUAAAAGCCUACCAAGGCGACGAUCCAUAGCUGGUCUGAGAGGAUGAUCAGCCACACUGGGACUGAGACACGGCCCAGACUCCUACGGGAGGCAGCAGUGGGGAAUAUUGGACAAUGGGCGAAAGCCUGAUCCAGCAAUGCCGCGUGAGUGAUGAAGGCCUUAGGGUUGUAAAGCUCUUUUACCCGGGAUGAUAAUGACAGUACCGGGAGAAUAAGCUCCGGCUAACUCCGUG
rnacentral:rRNA from 1 species